CUUGUAGGUGAAUAUGCUUGUGAAGGGCUAUACCUUGCUGAAGGAUUGUAACUUGGUGAGGUCAGACUGUAAGUCGGUGAGGUGGGACUGUAUCCAGGUGAAGUUGGGCUGUAGGCAGGAGAGGUAGGGCUGUAUGAAGGUGAGGUUGGGCUGUACGAUGGAGAGGUUGGGCUGUAAGAUGGUGAGGUUGGGCUGUAAGAGGGAGACGUGGGGCUGUAAGCCGGAGAAGUUGGGUUAUAAGCAGGUGAGGUUGGGCUGUAAGAGGGAGACGUGGGGCUGUAAGCCGGAGAAGUUGGGCUAUACGCAGGUGAGGUUGGGCUGUAUGCUGGAGAAGUUGGGCUGUAGCUCGGAGAUGUAGGGCUGUAGCUCGGAGAUGUGGGGCUAUAGCUAGGAGAUGUUGGGCUGUAGGAAGGAGACGUUG
rnacentral:lncRNA from 1 species